AUAAACAAGGGAGAUAAGUAAUGUUUACUUUUGUUUCUGAUGCCAGACAUAGGUUCAGAGGAUUGAAGAGGGAGAUCCAAGGAGCUAGCCUCUUAAGAGGAGUAAAUACCUAGUCACUGAGUGAUUUUCUGAAUGCAGUUAUGGGCAGGGCUGGGUACUGAAGAAGACGCUCUGCAGAACAGAGGAAUGGGGAAAUUACAGAACAAAUUCCACAGCAUUUCUCCAUUUGAACUGGCCACCUUUUAAGUGGUCAUUAG